rnacentral:snoRNA from 1 species
UUUGAGGUCUACCCCGAUGGGGCUUUUUCUAUAAAACCUACAUUGUUGGAAAUGCCUCAGAGAGCAACUAUGUAGUUCCCUUUACUCAUAAAAAUACCUGUUAUAUCUGUGGGAAAGAACUACAAGAGAGAG